rnacentral:rRNA from 1 species
GACAGAGGGGGCAAGCGUUGCUCGGAAUUACUGGGCGUAAAGGGCGCGUAGGCGGGAUGGCAAGUCGGUCGUGAAAUCCCUCGGCUCAACUGAGGAUCGUCGAUCGAUACUGCCGUUCUUGAGGAUUGCAGAGGAAACUGGAAUUCCCGGUGUAGCGGUGAAAUGUGUAGAGAUCGGGAGGAACACCGGUGGCGAAGGCGGGUCUCUGGGCAAUUCCUGACGCUGAGGCGCGAAAGCGUGGGGAGCAAACGGG